AAUGAACGUUGGCGGCGUGGAUUAGGCAUGCAAGUCGAGCGAGAAGCUUUUAAUUGAUCCUUCGGGUGAUUUUAAAAGUGGACAGCGGCGAAAGGGAGAGUAACACGUAGAUCACGUACCCAGGGGUUCGGGAUAGCGGGGGGAAACCGCCGGUAAUACCGAAUGAUGUCUCCGGACCAAAGAUUUAUCGCCCUUGGAGCGGUCUGCGUCCUAUUAGUUUGUUGGUGAGGUAAAGGCUCACCAAGGCAAAGAUGGGUAGCGGGUGUGAGAGCAUGGCCCGUCUCACUGGGACUGAGACACUGCCCAGACACCUACGGGUGGCUGCAGUCGAGAAUCUUCCGCAAUGGACGAAAGUCUGACGGAGCGACGCCGCGUGCGGGAUUAAGGCCUUCGGGUUGUAAACCGCUGUCAGAGGGGAGCAAAUUUUGAGCGAUCCUCAGAGGAAGCACAGGCUAAGUUCGUGCCAGCGCCG
rnacentral:rRNA from 1 species